UUCCGGCCCGAUCGAAGCUGACCGAAGUCUAUACUUUGUGUCGGUCAAAACGCGGCCAAGAGUGAGUUUGUCAUUAAGGUCGCACUGUACGUCUGUACGUAACCGUGCAUUACCCAUGGCAAAUACAUUG